UUUUUGUCGGUCCAAACCGCAAGAAGCGGCAGCUGCGAUAGGUCAGAAGAGAUGCGAUCAUUCAGGCUCCGCCUUCCUGAUAAAGUACCCGAUGCAAAGUGCCUAGCCCUGCUUGGUUUGGUUGCACAGUAGGGAGGGACACAGUUCAAAAGAGCGGGGCAGGGCACACCUGACCUGGAAUUAACCCUUCACUGACAGAAACAUGGCUGGUUGGUGUCAUUCAGUUUACAGCUGAGAACAUAAAGAAGCCACAGAGAAAAGGGUGGGAAUCCCCAACCUUUGUUCCAUGACAUCUUUUAAAGACUGGCCAAAUUUAGAUAAAGCUCAUUUUCUCAGUGGAACCCUGUGUGCACGAAAACCGGGAUUAAGGAUCACAAACCAACAGAGAAUGGGAAAAUCCUGGAGAGAGAGAGAGCCGGCAAGCUGCAGUUGGAGGGAAGCCAAGAUCUCAGAUAAGAGAUGCUUCAUUGAUUGAAACAAGGUCCAUCCAAGUGCCUGAAACUUACUCAGCCUCAGCUUUUGGGGUGGGAACUGUCCUGUGCUGGAGAAAACUCUGAACCGGUUUUGAAGCAUAUCUUCUUACCAUUUUCAGAAAGGACUUGCAACUUUUUAAGAAUAACUUUCUCAACGUACUUUUAAAUCCCCUUUUGUAUACAAUGUGUGUGGCUUUUGGCAAUGCUGCUCACUAGUGCUUUUUUCCCCUUAAAAAAUGUUUAGGGGUACUAUCAUUUUGACUCAAGAAAAUCACCAUUUUGUA